UACGAAGGGGGCUAGCGUUGCUCGGAAUCACUGGGCGUAAAGGGUGCGUAGGCGGGUCUUAAGUCAGGGGUGAAAUCCUGGAGCUCAACUCCAGAACUGCCUUUGAUACUGAGGAUCUUGAGUUCGGGAGAGGUGAGUGGAACUGCGAGUGUAGAGGUGAAAUUCGUAGAUAUUCGCAAGAACACCAGUGGCGAAGGCGGCUCACUGGCCCGAUACUGACGCUGAGGCACGAAAGCGUGGGGAGCAAACAGG
rnacentral:rRNA from 1 species